rnacentral:tRNA from 28 species
GGGCGAUUAGCUCAGGGGGAGAGCACUACCUUGACACGGUAGGGGUCACAAGUUCAAAUCUUGUAUCGCCCACCA